rnacentral:rRNA from 1 species
CCCCGCUGAACUUAAGCAUAUCAAUAAGCGGAGGAAAAGAAAAUAACAAUGAUUCCCCUAGUAACUGCGAGUGAAGAGGGACAAGCUCAAAUUUUAAAUCUAUCGGGUUUUACCUGAUCGAGUUGUAAUUUGAAGAAGCGUUUUCUGCGUAUUUGGUCAGCCUAAGUCCUAUUGAAUGAGGCAUCAUGGAGGGUGAUAAUCCCGUCCGGUUGAUCAUUUGCGUUUUACGAUACGCUUUCUAAGAGUCAAGUUGUUUGGGAUUGCAGCUUAAAAUGGGAGGUAAAUUUCUCCUAAGGCUAAAUAACGGCGAGAGACCGAUAGCGAACAAGUACCGUGAGGGAAAGAUGAAAAGAACUUUGAAAAGAGAGUUAAAUAGUACGUGAAAUUGUUGAAAGGGAAACGAUUGAAGCCAGUCGUACCUAUGGGUAAUCAGCCUUUUGGGUGUGAUUUUGUGGAGCGUGAGGAGUUAAACGCCUUCAUGCCUGCAUAUUCGUGCACUUUGGGUGUACUUGCCCGUAUGGUUGGUUAACAUCAAUUUUGGUGGUCAUAAAAUGACUGGAGGAAUGUAGCUUCGAUCUCGUAUUGAAGUGUUAUAGCCUUCGGUAGAUGUGAUGAUCGAGAUUGAGGAUUGCAACGGAUACCCUUCGGGGCUACCUGUCUGAUCUCUGAUCGUUGCUCUGGUGCCGAAAGCUUGCUUACGGUUAUCAAAGUCGAUGGUCAAUAGGUUAGAACGGGUUAAAUUCGUUAAGGAUGUUGACGUAAUGGCUUUAAACGACCCGUCUUGAAACACGGACCAAGGAGUCUAACAUAUAUGCGAGUGUUAGGGUGAUUAAACCCUUACGCGUAAUGAAAGUAAUUUUGGUGGGAACAUUUUUGUGCACCAUCGACCGAUCAGGAUAUUUUUUGAUAGAUUUGAGUAAGAGCAUAUCUGCUAGGACCCGAAAGAUGGUGAACUAUGCCUGAAUAGGGUGAAGUCAGAGGAAACUCUGAUGGAGGCUCGUAGCGGUUCUGACGUGCAAAUCGAUCGUCAAAUUUGGGUAUAGGGGCGAAAGACUAAUCGAACCAUCUAGUAGCUGGUUCCUGCCGAAGUUUCCCUCAGGAUAGCAGAAACUCGUUAACAGUUUUAUGAGGUAAAGCGAAUGAUUAGAGGCCUUAGGGUUGAAACAGCCUUAACCUAUUCUCAAACUUUAAAUAUGUAAGAAGUUUAUCGUUACUUAAUUGAACGUGAACAUUCGAAUGAGAGUUUCUAGUGGGCCAUUUUUGGUAAG